GACGAACGCUGGCGGCGUGCUUAACACAUGCAAGUCGAACGGGCUCUGUCUGGCUGUGUGCUGGGUGGGGUUAGUGGCGAACGGGUGAGUAAUACGUGAGUAACCUGCCCUCUUCUUUGGGAUAAGCCUUGGAAACGGGGUCUAAUACUGGAUAUUCCUGUCUGGUCGCAUGGCUGGGUGGGGAAAGUUUUUUUCGGUGGGGGAUGGGCUCGCGGCCUAUCAGCUUGUUGGUGGGGUGAUGGCCUACCAAGGCGUCGACGGGUAGCCGGCCUGAGAGGGUGACCUGCCCCACUGGGACUGAGAUACGGCCCAGACUCCUACGGGAGGCAGCAGUGGGGGAUAUUGCACAAUGGGCGCAAGCCUGAUGCAGCGACGCCGCGUGGGGGAUGACGGCUUUCGGGUUGUAAACCUCUUUCGUCGGGGGACAAGGCUCUGCUUGGUGGUGGGGUUGAGGGUACCCGGUGAAGAAGCGCCGGCUAACUACGUG
rnacentral:rRNA from 1 species